AGUUGUCCGCAAUGAGAUCGGAAUAAGGGCGCGCGCAUACACACAGAAAAGAGUUGCUCCGGCACAGUUUUUCAUUGCGCGCAAGCGUAAGAAGGUCUUUUCGAAGGAAUGCAGUGAGCGUUGUGCUUCUCUUCCUGGCUCUCGUUCUACGUUCCUCUUUCUCCUCAAGAUCAUAUUGCCAAAGUAGUUGUCAGAGCUAUUAAAUAGUUUAGUUGAGAACGACGAACAUCAGCUGUGAGCUAAUCAUUCUUUCUUUGAGUGUAAGUGCAGCUGCGUGGUUACGGGAAUAAAAGGCACGUGCGAUAGGUUAACGUAUAAGGGAGAAGCUUCAGUGAGAUGGCCGACAGCGCCGCCUCCAACUCGAAACCAAGAGGAUCGGUGAGCGAUGGGCCCGUUGUCGCUGACCCUUCAUCUUCCGGCACGAAGAGCCUAGAGGCAACGAAUAGUGCCUUUCACGGCGCAAGAUCGAAAUUAGAGUCCAAAUCUGGAGCAUUGAAAAAGGCCGGCAGAUAUAGGAGUCGUUCGCUAUCUGCAAGCAGUACUGACAGCUAUAGCUCUGCAGUAAGAUUGAUCAAGACUCCGGAUUCCCCUCGUAUCGACCAUGAAAAACUCGCUUACGAGGGAACUCCCAGGGGGAAAAGCAAGAAGUCUAGAGAGGGAGAAAACAAGACGUCUUAUACAGGGAGCAGCAGCGAGGAGGACGAUGUAUCACCACGCGAGAAAAUCCAGAAGACUGACAAAGGCUUCACGGAUUUCUGUGUGCGGAACAUCGACCAACAUGCAUUUGGACGCAGAGAGAUCGAAAUUGCCGAGCAGGAAAUGCCAGGCAUUAUGGCACUUCGAAAACGGGCCCGCGAUGACAAGCCGUUGAAGAAUGCAAAGAUUGUCGGCUGCACGCACAUAAAUGCUCAGACGGCCGUUCUGGUUGAGACUCUGGUGGAACUUGGGGCGCAGGUACGAUGGGCUGCGUGCAACAUCUAUUCGACGCAGAACGAGGUAGCAGCUGCACUGGCACACGAAGGCUACCCCGUGUAUGCAUGGCGGGCCGAAACCGAGGAAGAUUUUUGGUGGUGCAUUGACAAGUGCAUAGCCGCCGAGAAUUGGCAACCCAACAUGAUCCUCGAUGACGGUGGCGACGCUACUCAUCUCAUGCUCAAAAAGUAUAAUGCCACGUUCAAGAUGAUUAAAGGAAUUGUUGAGGAAAGCGUAACGGGUGUUCACAGACUGUAUCAAUUGUCUAAAGCAGGGAAGUUAUCCGUUCCUGCUAUGAAUGUCAAUGAUAGUGUAACUAAAACGAAAUUUGAUAACCUUUACAGCUGUCGCGAAAGCAUCAUUGACAGUUUGAAGCGAUCGACGGACGUGAUGUUCGGUGGCAAGCAAGUUGUCAUCUGCGGUUAUGGGGAGGUUGGUAAAGGCUGUUGUCAGGCACUUAAGGGUCUCGGCUGCAUCGUAUAUAUCACAGAAAUCGAUCCUAUAUGUGCUCUUCAAGCGAGCAUGGACGGCUUUCGCGUUGUCAAGCUUAAUGAAGUCAUAAGGAACGUGGAUAUCGUUAUCACUGCAACUGGCAACAAAAAUGUUGUAACACGUGAGCAUAUGGAUAAAAUGAAAAACGGAUGCGUGGUUUGCAACAUGGGCCAUAGUAAUACUGAAAUUGAAAUUAACAGUCUACGUACAUCAGAUUUGACAUGGGAGAAGGUCCGCUCCCAGGUGGACCACGUAAUUUGGCCGGAUGGCAAACGGAUCGUACUUUUAGCCGAAGGUCGUUUGGUGAAUCUCUCAUGUUCUAGUAUUCCGUCCUUCGUAGUUUCCAUUACAGCUGCAACUCAAGCUCUCGCUCUAAUCGAGCUCUUUAAUGCCCCUCAAGGCCGCUACAAGAGUGAUGUUUAUUUACUGCCUAAAAAGAUGGAUGAGUACGUUGCUUCUCUGCAUUUACCUACUUUUGAUGCUCACUUAACAGAAUUAACGGAUGAACAAGCUAAAUAUAUGGGCUUAAAUAAAGCCGGACCGUUUAAACCCAAUUAUUAUCGAUGCCUUUCUCAAAGUCUGGCGUUUCGCUUGAAACAAAAAUUUUUACAAAGUAAUAAAUAGAAGAAAAAUAUGAACAAAAUGAAGUAUAGGCGAAUUAGCAUAUACGAAAUAUAAUGUAUCGCGCUACUAAAUUGGCAAAUGGGCUGGACAAAUAAAAGUGUGGAUCUGUAGGAUCACCAUUUUGAUCCAUCAACAAAACACAAAAAAGAAACUUACCAUAAAGUGAAGCUGAACAUCAAGCGAAUGAAAAAAGCAGGGAACUCUUUCAUUUUAUCUGUCAAAUACUACUUCAAAAAAGAAAACGAAAUUAGAAUAAUGUUUCAAAAAUACGUGUAUCAUUCCAAUAAAUUACUAAUUAAAAUACAAUUUUAUUAGCUUGUACGUACCUGCUAUACUGUUAGACUGGAUGAAUAAAUUGUGAUCAUUCGAAAUAUUUGGAAAAAAAUUAACGUAGGUUUAAAAAUAAUAUAAACUAUUUUCUAAAUAAAUAACAAGCAAAAUGUCACGCAGGACGCAAGUGUGAAAAGCUAAUUUAUCGUAAUACCCUAUUUUGAUUGCUUGUGUUUUUAAUAGGCGAUUCUAGAAAAAUCUUCAAGACUAUACGCCGUAUCAAGCAGAUUUAUACUA